rnacentral:tRNA from 5 species
UUGCGGAGACAGGAUUUGAAC